rnacentral:snoRNA from 1 species
UCAGUCCACCUCAAUGCCAGAUGGCUUAAAAAUACGAUGCCAUACUGAGCAUAACCAAAAAUGGACUAAUAUCAAUUGAAAUUGUUUUAACUAUCCUUGUGCUUGAAGAUAUAAGCCACUUCCUGCUCUCCUGGAAAUUAAAACAACACUA